rnacentral:lncRNA from 1 species
GGGAGGCGCUGAGAUUCCGGGCCCGGCGGCCGCGGGGAGCGGGUGUCCGUGAGGAGCCGGGCAGCCGGCCUCCUCUCUUUGCCUUUUGGGGGUUCUUUUUGUAAUAGCAGCAGCCUGCUCCUGGGUCUCCUUCCCCACCUCACAGCCAUGGCAACCAAAUGCACGGGCUUGUGAAGACCAGCAGCCCAACUUCAGCAAGGUCUCGCUGGCCUGGACAGAAGAGCCAAGAUGAAUUACCAUGUGCAUGGAGAGAAGCCAUGGCCCAAGGAUGGGAAUUGCAGAUCUGGAGGCUGAAGCCCCACAUUGGCAUCCUGGCUCUACUCCCACUGGUUCUGUCACCCUGGGCAAGGCACUUCUCCCAAGCUGCAGUUCUGCCAACUGAGAAGCAGAGACAAUGACACUUGUUCCGCUCACCUUGCAGGGUUGUUGUGAGAAGGAAAUAAAGUAUUUGGAAGCACUUUA